rnacentral:rRNA from 1 species
GGCGGCGAGUGGCGGACGGGUGAGUAAUGCAUCGGAACGUGCCCAGGAGUGGGGGAUAACGUAGCGAAAGUUACGCUAAUACCGCAUACGUACUGAGGUAGAAAGCGGGGGAUCGAAAGACCUCGCGCUCAUGGAGCGGCCGAUGUCGGAUUAGCUAGUUGGUGAGGUAAAAGCUCACCAAGGCGACGAUCCGUAGCUGGUCUGAGAGGACGACCAGCCACACUGGGACCGAGACACGGCCCAGACUCCUACGGGAGGCAGCAGUGGGGAAUCUUGGACAAUGGGGGAAACCCUGAUCCAGCAAUGCCGCGUGUGGGAUGAAGGCCCUCGGGUUGUAAACCACUUUUGGCAGGAAAGAAAUCGCCUGUGCUAAUACCAUGGGCGGAUGACGGUACCUGCAGAAUAAGCACCGGCUAACUACGUGCCAGCAGCCGCGGUAAUACGUAGGGUGCGAGCGUUAAUCGGAAUUACUGGGCGUAAAGCGUGCGCAGGCGGUUUUGUAAGACAGAUGUGAAAUCCCCGGGCUUAACCUGGGAACUGCAUUUGUGACUGCAAGACUAGAGUGUGUCAGAGGGAGGUGGAAUUCCGCGUGUAGCAGUGAAAUGCGUAGAGAUGCGGAAGAACACCGAUGGCGAAGGCAGCCUCCUGGGAUAACACUGACGCUCAGGCACGAAAGCGUGGGGAGCAAACAGGAUUAGAUACCCUGGUAGUCCACGCCCUAAACGAUGUCAA